CCUACGGGGGACAGCAGUCGAGAAUCAUUCACAAUGGGGGAAACCCUGAUGGUGCGACGCCGCGUGGGGGAAUGAAGGUCUUCGGAUUGUAAACCCCUGUCAUGUGGGAGCAAAUUAAAAAGAUAGUACCACAAGAGGAAGAGACGGCUAACUCUGUGCCAGCAGCCGCGGUAAUACAGAGGUCUCAAGCGUUGUUCGGAAUCACUGGGCGUAAAGCGUGCGUAGGCUGUUUCGUAAGUCGUGUGUGAAAGGCGCGGGCUCAACCCGCGGACGGCACAUGAUACUGCGAGACUAGAGUAAGGGAGGGGGAACCGGAAUUCUCGGUGUAGCAGUGAAAUGCGUAGAUAUCGAGAGGAACACUCGUGGCGAAGGCGGGUUCCUGGACAUUAACUGACGCUGAGGCACGAAGGCCAGGGGAGCGAAAGGGAUUAGAUACCCUUGUAGU
rnacentral:rRNA from 1 species